AUGAACCAAAGCCAGAGCAUAAGAAAAGGAGAAGGGAACACAAAAAGAGGCACUGAACAGUGUCAAGGAAGCACAAAGUUAACCUGCAUGGUGCCAAUCAAGAACACAGUCAAAGAGACCAACCAAUCCUGUGUGACACAUUUUCUGUAGUACUGGCUGCUGAUUGGGUAAGUACAUAAUUGCUACUAUAGGUUUAUGUGACAUAAAUCACUUGAAUCAGGCCCUGAUUCAAGGACCUGUUAUAGGCUUAUUUUUCCUUUACUUAGAAUUUUUAUACAUAAG
rnacentral:lncRNA from 1 species